rnacentral:rRNA from 1 species
AGCAGCCGCGGUAAUUCCAGCUCCAAUAGCGUAUAUUAAAGUUGUUGCAGUUAAAAAGCUCGUAGUUGAAUUUCGGGGUCAGUAGGUCGGUCGUGCCACUGGUAUGAACUGGUUUUACUGAUUCCUCCCUCUUGAAGAACUAUAAUGUCAUUAAUUUGGUGUUGUAGGGAAUCAGGACUGUUACUUUGAAAAAAUUAGAGUGUUUAAAGCAGGCUUUAGCUUGAAUACAUUAGCAUGGAAUAAUGAAAUAGGACGUUUGAUCCUAUUUUGUUGGUUUCUAGGAUUGACGUAAUGAUUAAUAGGGAUAGUUGGGGGCAUUAGUAUUCAAUUGUCAGAGGUGAAAUUCUUGGAUUUAUUGAAGACUAACUACUGCGAAAGCAUUUGCCAAGGAUGUUUUCAUUAAUCAAGACGAAAGUUAGGGGAUCGAAGACGAUCAGAUACCGUCGUAGUCUUAACCAUAAACUAUGCCGACUAGGGAUCGGAUGAUGUUAAUUUUUUUAAUGUACUCAUUCGGCGCCUU